CCCUGGGGCCGCUAUAGCAAAUGGCCAAAACCUGGUCACCUGAAAGAACAGGAGCUCACCCUCCCCCAACCCUGGAGCCCAGGGGUCUGAGGUUCAGGUGUCUCACGGCCGCUCCCUCCACAGGCCCCAGGGGAGGCCCCUUCCUGCCUCUCCCAGCUCCUGGGGGCUCCAGGUGUCCCUGGGCUUGUGUCCACAUCACUCCAGUCUCUGCCUCCAUCGCCACGUGGCUUCUCCUCUGUGUCUGUGUCCCCUCUGCUGUCUUUUAGGAGGACACCUGUCACUGGAUUUGGGGCCCUCUCUAAUCCAGAAUGGCCUCAUCUCCAGAUCCUUCACUAAUCACAUCUGCAGUUGCAAUAAGGUCCCAUUUCAAGAACCCAGGGUUUGGGAUACAUGGUUGUAUCUUUUUGGGUGACACCCAUUAGUCCAUGACAGCAUCUUGGGCUGAUUGAUUGACUGACUUCCCUAAGUGGCCUGGCACAGAGAAAGAGAUUCUGGGAAUAGGUUCCCAUCAGCCAGUGUGCUGCCCACCCUGGGGUCAUCGGGAACACGGCCAGAAAGGGGCCCAGUAUGUUUCUGAGGGUGCAGAGGGCACAGAUGACCCCAGCAUGUGGCCAGGCUGCAGUGCUGAUGGCGCGUAACCUCAGGGUGCCCUGAAGCCUGCUGGCUGGACAUGGGUGGACUUUGGUUUCGGUCACCACCUGCCUCGAGAGCAGACAGGGUCAGGGUUUGUGUCCUCCUGUCCCGUGACCUCAUGCCCUCAGGGCAGCCGUCCCAGCAAGGGGCUGGCCUGGGUAGAGCAGGAACCAGCAGGCCCAACUCAGAAUCCCCAGUCUGUUCCCACCUGGCCGCAGCAGCUAGGUUCAUCCAGUGUGGUCACAGCUGUGGGCAGCUGGUCACCGACACACCCCUGUGCCCAUCCCUGUGUGGGCAGCCUGGCCAGCCCAGGGAAUGGAUUGUGCAGAAGGCUGUCCACUUGGGCAGCCUCUGCCUUCUCUGCCCUGGAGUCUGUGCCUACCCAGGCAGCCGCUAAAGCUCUGUCCCCUCUGCUCCCCUUGCAAGUCACCAUGUGAGUCUCACUGCCCCCACGUGUGAU